GGUUGAUCCUGCCAGUUGUCAUAUGCUUGUUUCAAGGACUAAGCCAUGCAAGUGUGAGAGUACUCGGGGUUUACCUCGAGAGGUCUGUGUACGGCUCAUUAAACGGUUUAUUGUCUACCCAACAAAGGAUGUGCAUUUGCCACCCCAACGGGAUAACUUUGCUAACUGCAAAGCUAAUACCUGUAAGAAGAACCUCGUACCUUUCAAACAGCGGGGUGACCUCCGGGUUGCUUCACUGUGGUGCGAGGUGCGCUUCGCCGAAACAAAAACCAACGCCGUUUUUCGGCAGCUAU
rnacentral:rRNA from 1 species